UACGUAGGGUGCAAGCGUUGUCCGGAAUUAUUGGGCGUAAAGAGCUCGUAGGCGGUCUGUCGCGUCUGCUGUGAAAACUCGGGGCUUAACCCCGGGCCUGCAGUGGGUACGGGCAGACUAGAGUGCGGUAGGGGAGACUGGAAUUCCUGGUGUAGCGGUGAAAUGCGCAGAUAUCAGGAGGAACACCGGUGGCGAAGGCGGGUCUCGUGGGCCGUAACUGACGCUGGAGGAGCGAAAGCAUGGGGAGCGAACAGG
rnacentral:rRNA from 1 species